CAGUUCUUUCAGUUACUGUGAUCCCAUCGGUACCUACAAGGCUGCUGGGCCCGGGGAAAUGUGGGUUACAGAAGGAGCGCCCCCAGGAUGAAAUGAGACCAUGGCAUCUCCCGACUGCAGCCACCAGUUUCCGUGCAAAUCUGGCUGCCCACCCACGGCCGCUGGUGAGUGGUGGGUCCUGCCUGCCUGCCUGCUUCUUGCCGGCGCAUCAACGUGGAGGAACAGUCCCCGGGGAGCCGGCGGCGGACGGAUUACUGGCAAGUCUAUUUUCAGAUGAAGAUCAGUUCACGCACGAGCAAGCGAUGCUGCCCUGCACACAGGUCCACAUCUGAGUUUCGCAUAAGCACCCACCUGGCUUUUCCUGCACGUUGUGAAAUGCAGCCCCCUCACCUGUAUUUCUCUAAGAACAACAACGUCUCCAAACGAAUGACAAAGACAAACAAUCACACCACACAGGCAAGGGACACCUGGGUCACAGGAGGGACCCGGGUCCCCAAAGUGUGAAUUUACGUCAUCAGGAGAAGAACAUCCUGAAUUAGAGAAAGUCGUCAAAGACAAUGGAGGUUUUCGGGAAAUCCAAUUGCAGCAACAGAAAACAGGACUUGCUUGCUCUUUCAGUAUUUAACCUGCCAACAGAGACUCAUCCAUGUUGACCGAAAUACUUUCACAAGCCUGAUAGGUUUCUGAAUGGUCACAAAACCGGUGAAGGCGCAGACAUCAGAGAUGCCACCGCUAAUCCUGCUUUCGAUUCUGACCCAUGG